UGGGGUGUGGCUCAGUGGUAAAGUACUUGCCUACAAUGCAAGAGGCCCUGGGUUCUAUCCCCACCACUGCAA